CGGGUGUCAGGCACACCAUCCAACCAGUCAACGCACCAGAGGACUCAGUCAGCAUUUGGAGACUGUUCUUUCCAGAGUCCAGUGUUGGGGGAGAGUGCCAGCAUGUACUACCAGUCCCAGUCUCCACAGAGGGACGGCACCAAGAGUCAGGAGCCCAGGGCGGUGGAGGACGAUCAGCGGUUUUAUCAGGAUCUACUGGGCCAAGUGAACAGCCGUCUCCAGGGAUCAGUGAACGAGGAGGUCAAAGAGGAAGAAGAUCGAAGCACCUCGUACACACUGCGAGAGAGACACAGCUUGUCCCCUAGACAAGUGU